UCCGAAGGGCAAGCGCGGUGCACUUGGCAGACCUGCUGGCGCAGCCUCUCUCCCCGAUCCGCCCAGAGCUGGAGCUAGGAAAGGAAGCUGCACUCGAGGAGAUGAAUAGAGGCAAUGGCAACGCCGACAUGCAAGCGGCACGACAGGGAAGUUCUCUCAAGCGUCCAUCCGAUGACUGGAGCACGGCAUCAUCUCCGAAGAGAGCGAUCAGGGAAGAGUCCCUAACAGAUGGUGAGCUAUGUUCUUGUUCCUUGCAAUACCAUACCCGAACUCUCCUUUGGGCAGUUAAGGACUGCAGUAUUCAGCGCGUGUGCAAAAUCCUCAAAUGCUCAGCUCAUGAAGCAACAUAAUGAGUAUUACCAUAUCAAUAUGAAUGAGGGAGGUGCUUAGCUUAGGCUGUCAUCACACUACGGUACAAAGUGCUGCGUCUAUUUCCACGUAAGGAAGUUUUAGUCGGUUGCCAUAAUGAUCCGUGUGUCUGUACUGGAUGAAAGCGGGAGCAGAUUAAACGGGAAACGUAGAUGUGGCCAGGGGUGGGGUAUACAGCUUUUCUGAAGAACGUGCGUAUCUCCCCCAGUCUCUUUCUAAGCGACCUUGGACCUGCCUUGGAAUUUCUCCGAAACGUGACCGCGUGUACGGGUCAAGAACUGUGCCUGUGCGAUGACACGACCACCCGUUUUGUAAUUUUCACCGUGGAUGUGUACAUCCCUUUGAAGAAUGCCAGCGACCUAGAAGGAGCCCAAGCAUUUGCUGCAGACAAGUCGAAAUGGAGAUCCGACAUCGUUUAUGGAUGAGUUUUUGUUGACUGGAGACAGAAGCGGACUUGGCUUAAUUUCAGUGUAUUCUCAUACAUUGUUCUUUGGCCUUUGUACGCGUGCUGUGGCAUUAUUAUU